GAUACAGUGAUGAGUUUGGUCCCCUUUCCCUUCCUCUCUCAUGCUCUCUUGUCCCUCCACUUCUGCUGCAGGAUGACACAGCAAGAAGGCCCUCACCAGAUGCUGAGCAGAUGCUGGCACCAUGCCUGUGGACUUCCCAGCCUCCAGAACUGUAAACGCUGCAUUUCUACAACAGCCACCUGUGCAGGCCCUGCAUGCUCUGUAACCUGGGGAUUUGGUCUUCUGAAAAGGGCACCAGAGAAAAACUGCUCUUAAGCCUCUGUUAACUGACACAGCAGUAGAACUCCAAGGUGUUGAUCCUUGGAUUCAUGUUUCUCAACUUCAGAGACACACAUCACUCCUUCCUGACCACUGGGCAUCCAUCCCACCAGGAGCUCCUAAUCUGAGAGCUGUUAGAAAUCCUCCAAAAGUGCUGACUGCAGAAGUUGGUAGCUUCUGCUCAAGAUGAGAGAACAAGAUUAACUUUUGUAUUCUUCAGCACCUUUUUUAUUUUCCAUUAUCACACUUUGAUACCCUCUAAAACAUUAAAACACCUUCUAGAGUGCUUAUGUGAUCAACUUGA